rnacentral:rRNA from 1 species
UACGAAGGGGGCUAGCGUUGCUCGGAAUCACUGGGCGUAAAGGGUGCGUAGGCGGGUCUUUAAGUCAGAGGUGAAAUCCUGGAGCUCAACUCCAGAACUGCCUUUGAAACUGUCUGGCUUGAGGCCGGGAGAGGGUAGCGGAAUUCCCAGUGUAGCGGUGAAAUGCGUAGAUACUGGGAGGAACACCGGUGGCGAAGGCGGCUACCUGGACCGGUUCUGACGCUGAUGCGCGAAAGCGUGGGUAGCAAACAGG